rnacentral:rRNA from 1 species
AGACUCCUACGGGAGGCAGCAGUAGGGAAUCUUCGGCAAUGGGGGCAACCCUGACCGAGCAACGCCGCGUGAGUGAAGAAGGUUUUCGGAUCGUAAAGCUCUGUUGUAAGUCAAGAACGGGUGUGAGAGUGGAAAGUUCACACUGUGACGGUAGCUUACCAGAAAGGGACGGCUAACUACGUGCCAGCAGCCGCGGUAAUACGUAGGUCCCGAGCGUUGUCCGGAUUUAUUGGGCGUAAAGCGAGCGCAGGCGGUUUGAUAAGUCUGAAGUUAAAGGCUGUGGCUCAACCAUAGUUCGCUUUGGAAACUGUCGAACUUGAGUGCAGAAGGGGAGAGUGGAAUUCCAUGUGUAGCGGUGAAAUGCGUAGAUAUAUGGAGGAACACCGGUGGCGAAAGCGGCUCUCUGGCCUGUAACUGACACUGAGGCUCGAAAGCGUGGGGAGCAAACAGGAUUAGAUACCCUGGUAGUCCACGCCGUAAACGAUGAGUGCUAGAUGUAGGGAGCUAUAAGUUCUCUGUAUCGCAGCUAACGCAAG